AGGAAACAAGUUCUUUCAUCUGUUCCACAUAUCUUAGAAACUGUUCAGAUGAAGUUUCAGCUAUACUAAUUGAUUUGGGUUCAGAUACGUGUAAAGCUGGUUAAGCCAGAGAAGAUGCUCCCAAGGCCGUGUUUCCUUCUCCACUAAGAAGUGCAAUUGCUUCAACAUUUUACCCUGAUCUCAGCAUAGAAGAUGAUGAUAUAUUUGUCUCAGAUGGAGCAAAGUGUGAUAUAUCUCGUCUCCAGUAGAGGAAGUUAGAAAACUUGAAGGCACAACAUUGUAUAGAUCAAGGACUUUGUUCUUCCUUACACACGACAACGCGUUAAGACCUCUAGCGAUUGAGCUAGCUUGGCCGCCGAUGAAUGGAAAGCCACAGUGGAGGCAGUUCUAAAUCCAAUUCCCCUUUUGAACUGGUUGCAUCACUACGCGGACACACUAAAUCUGUUGUUUGCCUGGCUGUUGGAUGUAACAAGAUGUUGUACUCAGGAUCCAAGGAUCAAAGCAUCAAGGUUUGGGACCUAGACAAAUUUGAGUGUUAAAUGACACUCAAUGCGCAUACAGGAGAAGUCACAUCCCUUAUUUGUUGGGACAAAUUCUUGCUAUCCGGUUCAUCAGACUGCACUAUCGAGACUUUGCUUGAGAAGAUGAAGUCGGUGUACACGAAUGUAGAAGGUCUUCCUCCAUAUCGAAUUGUGGAAAGCAAUUGCUUCUCCAUGGCGUGGUAUUUUGGCCAUGGAUGAAUCCAAUGCUACAUGUGGAAAGCGGUUGGAUUCAAUUGGACUAAAGAACACCGAAGCUAACCGUCAAGUAUGGCGUAAAAUUAUAUAUGAAGAAAGUGUUAUGACUUGGUUAAAAUAUAAUUUUUAUGUGUAUGAUUUUAUAGUACUUGAAAUAUUAUGAAUGCACAUGAUUUUGUAUA